GUAAUCAAAAGUCUGCUAAUUACAGACCUGUAUGAAAGAGUAAACUUCUAGAAACUAUGCUAAAAGAAAAAUAAAAAUUAAAAAAAUAAAAAAAUAGUUUUUAACCCGCAAGACGAGAAGACCCUAAAAAGUUCACCAACCAAGGUUAUUUGGGGUAAAUAAAUAAGACAUAUUAUAUUAAUUUAUAUUUUAAAAACAUAAAAAAAAACUACUUUAGGGAUAACAGAACAAUGUAUAAACUUAGACCUCAUAUUUCUAUAAUUUUGUGACCUCGAUGUUGGAUUCUUUAACCUGCGGCCCGCAAUCGGGCCGCAAGGAAGACUGUUCGUUUUUAAAAUAAAG
rnacentral:rRNA from 1 species